GUACUCACUUCAGCAGUACAUAUACUAAAAUUGGAAUGAGACAGAAAAGAUUAGCAUGGCCCCUGUGCAAGGAUGACACACAAAUCCAUGAAGCAUUCCAUAUUUUU
rnacentral:snRNA from 1 species